rnacentral:tRNA from 1 species
GGAAGCGGAUAGGGUCUGGUGGCCCUUGCGGUCUUCAAAACCGUGGGGAGGCGGUAAUGCCGUCUCCGGUGGGUUCGAUUCCCACCCCUUCCGC